rnacentral:lncRNA from 1 species
UCUUUCUCUAACCGCAAGGACCUGGUUUGCCUGCGGACUGGACAGAUCGGAUGCGUUAAAGAAUUGUCUCUCUUAAGGAAGGGAGGGCUCUCAUCCAAUGACUGACAGGACUGUUACAUAAGUACUCAAGUUCCCUCUCCAACUCGAAUGGGAUAACUCUGAGGGCCAUCAUUCUUGGAAAGUCAUCCAGUUCAUCAAUAUCCUUUAACACUGUUUGGAUUUGUGGGUGUUCAUUCAAGCAGGAAGGGAGGCCUAUGGAGCUGUAAAAUGUAAUCUCCAUUGAAGUUGGGCAUCUGGAAAUACUGAGAGUCUCCAUUGAGGUUGAGCAUCUCAAUAAACUGUGUUAUGUCAACCAGCCCGUGCAUGCCAACUAUUAUUAACUACCUCAUUUUUUGUGACCUCUAAUGUAAUAAUAUUUAAUGCUGAGCAGGUGUUCUGAAUUCUCAUUGUAUACUAUUUUUAUUCUUGUGUGAUGGAAUGGCUCCAUGUCCUCUAACACCUGACUAGAAUGAGGCACCUCUACCACCAGAAAGCCUCACUAAUGGCACAUCAGAAAACAGAAACACAAUAUGGAAUUGUGAGUUACUGAAAGCUUAUUAAAA